CGACGCUGGCGGCAGGCUUAACACAUGCAAGUCGAACGGGCGUAGCAAUACGUCAGUGGCAGACGGGUGAGUAACACGUGGGAACCUUCCUAGGGGUACGGAACAACUCAGGGAAACUUGAGCUAAUACCGUAUACGUCCGUGAGGAGAAAGAUUUAUCGCCCUUAGACGGGCCCGCGUCGGAUUAGCUAGUUGGUGGGUGACGGCCUACCAAGGCGACGAUCCGUAGCUGAUCUGAGAGGAUGAUCAGCCACACUGGGACUGAGACACGGCCCAGACUCCUACGGGAGGCAGCAGUGGGGAAUCUUGGACAAUGGGCGCAAGCCUGAUCCAGCCAUGCCGCGUGAGUGAAGAAGGCCUUCGGGUUGUAAAGCUCUUUUGUCAGGGACGAUAAUGACGGUACCUGAAGAAUAAGCCCCGGCAAACUUCGUG
rnacentral:rRNA from 1 species